UAACCCUUGUGGAGGAGGACGCCGAAGGUGGGGCUAAUGACUGGGGUGAAGUCGUAACAAGGUAGCCGUACCGGAAGGUGCGGCUGGAUCACCUCCUAACAGGGAGACAACAAAAUGUUAAAUAUUAAUUUUGUCACCUUAGGUCGAUCGGUAUCUCACAUUCUUAAUUUAUUGAGAAUUUUAUUUCCUAAGUUUUUUCUAGGUCACACCCAUUACUUUUCCUGGGCCAUUAGCUCAGGUGGUUAGAGCGCACCCCUGAUAAGGGUGAGGUCCCUGGUUCAAGUCCAGGAUGGCCCAUAUCUCUAUGUUGGGGGUAUAGCUCAGUUGGUAGAGCGCCUGCUUUGCAAGCAGGAUGUCAGCGGUUCGAGUCCGCUUACCUCCACUGAUUACCACCUCUUCCAUAAUGUAUAAAAGGGAAAUGUUUUGAUUUGUGAUCAAAUUCUGAACGAAUCUAGCUUCCUAAUGAAAUAACCUUAAAUAGAUCAUUAAGAUGCUGGACUCAUUGAAUUAAUUUCAUUGUUUUCAGAGAACCUUGACAACUGCAUAGAUUAUUUUUAAAGACAAUAAGCAUCUUUAAUGAUGCAGAUUUAUUAUUUGUGCGAAUGCAUUAAUAACAAUUCUAUUAAGCUGAUGCUUCAAUUUUGAAGUUAUUGGUCAAGCUACAAAGGGCUCACGGAGGAUACCUAGGCACACAGAGGC
rnacentral:misc_RNA from 1 species